ACGGAGGGCGCAAGCGUUACUCGGAAUCACUGGGCGUAAAGAGCGUGUAGGCGGAUAAAUAAGUUGGGAGUGAAAUCCUAUGGCUCAACCAUAGAACUGCUUCCAAAACUGUAUAUCUAGAAUAUGGGAGAGGUAGAUGGAAUUUCUGGUGUAGGGGUAAAAUCCGUAGAGAUCAGAAGGAAUACCGAUUGCGAAGGCGAUCUACUGGAACAUUAUUGACGCUGAGACGCGAAAGCGUGGGGAGCAAACAGG
rnacentral:rRNA from 1 species